CGCAGCUGUAGUCGCCGGCGU
rnacentral:miRNA from 1 species